GUCUCUGUGGCGCAAUUGGUUAGCGCAUUUGGCUGUUAACCAGAAAGGAUGGUGGUGCGAGCCCACCCAGGGACG
rnacentral:tRNA from 1 species